GGAGUCCAUUGAGACAGAGGUGCCGGCACAAGGGCAGCCACAUACCCCAAAUAUUCUUCUUGCCCGGAUUCAGCGGCAUGUUUUGCUGCACUAUCGGCCAUGCGAUUUCUUUUUACUACAUCACUAUCACCUUUCAGAUGUGCCCUGCAAUGUAUAAUACCGACUUCCUUCGGUUCCCAUACCGCCUCUAACAGUUGGAGUAUUUCUGCUGCAUACUUGAUUUCUUUCCCUUCUGAAUUCACAAUCCCCUUUCUUUAUACAAUGCUCCAUGGGCAUGGGUGGUUAGAAAAGCAUAUUUCGAAUCUGUGUAAAUAUUCACUCUCAACCCUUCAGCUAAUUGCAAGGCCCUUGUUAAUGCAAUCAGUUCCGCAUUCUGUGCUGAUGUCCCUUUCGACAGUGGCCGUGCUUCUAUCACCUUGUCUAUGGUUGUUACCGCAUACCCUGCAUAACGUAUACCUUCUUUCAC